UAGAUUAAAUAGAAUUUUCUGAUUGAUCGAAUGAUGUGGCACUGCGCAGCAUACAGGGUCUAUAAAAUCCCUGUCUGUGCCUAGGGUUUAAGGGUUUCUACUCAAUACCCAGUCAAAACGAGAAUCCUCUCCUCUUCUCCAUGUCCUCCCUGCUCUCCUCUCUCCCCUCUUCACGUCCAAGGAGUUGGAUGUCCAUCUGGCAAAGGUCCAAGGCGUGGUGACGCCUGGAACAGGAAGGUGCAGGACAUCUUUGACAGGCUGCUGCUCCAACUUCAAAAGAAGUUCUGAAGCACUUCUAAAUUAGAUAGAGAUCUAAUUUUUGGAGCAUAGAUUCGUGAGGAGAAGACAUUCUAGGUCCUGCCUGAGUGGAUACCGAUAGAGGCCAGAUGCUUGCGUGGCUAC
rnacentral:lncRNA from 1 species